GGAGAACGUGCCCUUAAGUGGAGGAUAAUCUCGGGAAAUUGAGGAUAAUACUCCAUAGAUCAUGGGAUCUGGAAUGACCCAUGGUUGAAAGUUCCGGCGCUUAAGGAUCGCUCUGCGGCUUAUCAGGUUGUAGUGGGUGUAACGUACCCCCUAGCCAGUGACGAGUAUGGGCCUUGAGAGAGGGAGCCCAGAGUUGGAUUCUGAGACACGAAUCCAGGCCCUACGGGGCGCAGCAGUCGCGAAAACUUCACACUGGGGGCAACCCCGAUGAGGGAAUUCCUAGUGCUAGGACAUUUGUUCUAGCUUUUCUCUAGCGUAGAUAACUAGAGGAAUAAGGGCUGGGUAAGACGGGUGCCAGCCGCCGCGGUAAUAUCUGCAGCCCAAGUGGUGGUCGAUUUUAUUGAGUCUAAAGCGUUCGUAGCCGGUUUGAUAAAUCCUUGGGUAAAUCGGGAAGCUUAACUUUCCGACUUCCGAGGAGACUGUCAAACUUGGGACCGGGAGAGGCUAGAGGUACUUCUGGGGUAGGGGUAAAAUCCUGUAAUCCUAGAAGGACCACCGGUGGCGAAGGCGUCUAGCUAGAACGGAUCCGACGGUGAGGGACGAAGCCCUGGGUCGCAAACGGGAUUAGAUACCCCGGUAGUCCAGGGUGUAAACGCUGCCGACUUGGUGUUGGAGGCCCUUCGGGGGCAUUCAGUGCCGGAGAGAAGUUGUUAAGUCGGCCACUUGGGGAGUACGUCCGCAAGGAUGAAACUUAA
rnacentral:rRNA from 1 species